rnacentral:rRNA from 1 species
AUUGAACGCUGGCGGCAGGCCUAACACAUGCAAGUCGAACGAGUGGCGGACGGGUGAGUAAUGUCUGGGAAACUGCCUGAUGGAGGGGGAUAACUACUGGAAACGGUAGCUAAUACCGCAUACCAUCAGAUGUGCCCAGAUGGGAUUAGCUAGUAGGGGGGGUAAUGGCUCACCUAGGCGACGAUCCCUAGCUGGUCUGAGAGGAGGACCAGCCACACUGGAACGGAGACACGGUCCAUACGCCUACGGGAGGCAGCAGUGGGGAAUAUUGCACAAUGGGCGCAAGCCUGAGGCAGCCAGGCCGCGGGUGUGAAGGAGGCCUUCGGGUGGUAAAGCACUUUCAGCGAGGAGGCGGUACUCGCAGAAGAAGCACCGGCUAACUCCGUGCCAGCAGCCGCGGUAAUAC